rnacentral:rRNA from 1 species
AAUCAACGUUGGCGGCGCGCCUAACACAUGCAAGUCGAACGAGAAAGUGGAGCAAUCCAUGAGUAAAGUGGCGUACGGGUGAGUAACACGUGGGUAAUCUACCUCUUGGUGGGGAAUAACGCUGGGAAACUGGCGCUAAUACCGCAUAAGUUCGUAAGAAGAAAGUCGCAAGACGCCGAGAGAGGAGCCCGCGGCCGAUUAGCUAGUUGGUAGGGUAAAAGCCUACCAAGGCUAUGAUCGGUAGCCGGCCUGAGAGGGCACACGGCCACACUGGCACUGAAACACGGGCCAGACUCCUACGGGAGGCAGCAGUGGGGAAUCUUGCACAAUGGGGGGAAACCCUGAUGCAGCGACGCCGCGUGAGUGAUGAAGCCCUUCGGGGUGUAAAGCUCUUUCGACAGGAACGAUAAUGACGGUACCUGGAGAAGAAGCUGCGGCUAACUACGUGCCAGCAGCCGCGGUAAU